GAUGAACGCUGGCGGCGUGCCUAAUACAUGCAAGUCGAGCGAAUGGAUUGAGAGCUUGCUCCCAAGAAGUUAGCGGCGGACGGGUGAGUAACACGUGGGUAACCUGCCCAUAAGACUGGGAUAACUCCGGGAAACCGGGGCUAAUACCGGAUAACAUUUUGAACCGCAUGGUUCGAAAUUGAAAGGCGGCUUCGGCUGUCACUUAUGGAUGGACCCGCGUCGCAUUAGCUAGUUGGUGAGGUAACGGCUCACCAAGGCAACGAUGCGUAGCCGACCUGAGAGGGUGAUCGGCCACACUGGGACUGGAACACGGCCCAGACGCCUACGGGAGGCAGCAGUAGGGAAUCUUCCGCAAUGGACGAAAGUUUGACGGAGCAACGCCGCGUGAGUGAUGAAGGCUUUCGGGUCGUAAAACUCUGUUGUUAGGGAAGAACAAGUGCUAGUUGAAUAAGCUGGCACCUUGACGGUACCUAACCAGAAAGCCACGGCUAACUACGUGCCAGCCGCCGCUGUAAAAC
rnacentral:rRNA from 1 species